AAUUUGAAGAUGGUAACCUUGGGUUUGGCUCUUGUCUAUGUUCCUUGGAACAGGACGUCAUAGAGGGUGAGAAUCCCGUCUGAUGAGAUGCCCAUUCCUAUGUAAGGUGCUAUCGAAGAGUCGAGUUGUUUGGGAAUGCAGCUCUAAGUGGGUGGUAAAUUCCAUCUAAAGCUAAAUAUUGGCGAGAGACCGAUAGCGAACAAGUACAGUGAUGGAAAGAUGAAAAGAACUUUGAAAAGAGAGUGAAAAAGUACGUGAAAUUGUUGAAAGGGAAGGGCAUUAGAUCAGACUUGGUGUUUUACGAUUAUCUUCUCUUCUUGAGUUGUGCACUCGUAUUUCACUGGGCCAGCAUCGAUUCGGAUGGCAAGAUAAUGGCAGUUGAAUGUGGCUUCACUUCGGUGGAGUGUUAUAGCUUCUGCUGAUAUUGCCUGUCUGGAUCGAGGGCUGC
rnacentral:rRNA from 1 species